ensembl:lncRNA
GAGACUUCCCGAGUCAAACUUUCAGAUACAUUGGCAAUUCUCGUGCAUCCAGCUUUUGUCUCAAGGGACCCUGUUAGUUUUUGUCUCCAAAUAACAGUUUGUCUUGGCACUUGGAAUUUGCUCAUCUGUGCAGAAAGCUACAACUCUACAAGAAGCCGUUGCUCAACAAGUGUCUCUCUGUCCAUCCUGCAAGUGCAAUGUUUCUGGAGCAGCACUGCCCAGGAUCUGUGUGGAAUGGCGCUUAAGCCUGGUUUCUUUCCCAUGAAACUCCUUCUUUUGCAUGUACAUCCCAGAAGAAUAUCACUGAUUUGAAGAAGGAGAAAAAUUACUGUUUGGAUAAUUGUUUCCUCAUAUCUUCAUAUACUUACUACACUGUAGCCAGAGUUAGAAUUGCCACAUGCUUGAUGGGUAGUGACAUCAGGAAUUUGAGAAGAGCAUGUGUUCUCUACUAUCUGAUAUUUCUUCUCAUUUCAUUGGCUUGAUUUCUCACAUGGAUUUUCUAAGUGUGAGUAGAGGCUGUGUUAUCCACUAGGAAGGUAAUGGAGUAGCUGCCCUCCAAACUGAAACACAACUAAGUUCCAGAAGUUCCUACUAAGCACUGAGAACAGCAGGUAGAGUCAAAUCCUGUCUUUGGUUGAAGUCAGAAAAUCUUUGUGGCACAUGAGUUCUUUGAUGCUGUUUUAUUUCAUAAAGAUUUGGAAGGAAAGGAAUCUGUACAUCCUUGUUGGAAGUGGUAGGUAAAAAUAGGUCAUGCUUGACUUUUAGAUGCUAUUUGAACUUAAUCUGUAAGGACAUAAGUUCUUGCUUAUAUUGAAUUAUGUUAAAAUACACCAAAGUUUGUGUAUUUUUGAUUAUAGAUAUUCAAAUUAAGUAAAAGGUGCCUGUAGCCUUUGUAUAGCUCUCGACAGCUAUGUAUCUUCCUCAGACAACACAGCAGUGGUCAUAUGUAAUCUUAAUGGUUAGCUCUAAUCUAGGAGGUGACGUUAACUUGUUAUUGAGUAUAAUAGUCAGUUGAUGCUGACACCACCCUAAGUGGCUUGGGGGCAUAGGAAUCACAAGGACAAAAUUCUUGCUUCAGUGUCCAGAAUUGGGUUCUGGAAAGCUACAUGGAUGGCAAGUAUUCAGGAUUCUUGAUUAGUAGCACAUUGUAUGCUCGGUGGCUUCUGACUUGUAUUUAAAUGUGUAUGUACUCUUUGGCGCAUGUAUGUGCAUGGAUAAAUAUACAUGGAUACACCUUUUUUCUCCACAGC